UACAGAGCCCUCAAGCGUUCUCCGGAAUCAUUGGGCGUAAAGCGUGCCGAUAGGUGGUUGAAAUAGUCUUGGGUAAAAGCCAGAAGCUCAACUUCUGCGUUUGCUUAAGAUACUUUUCGACUAGAGGGGCAAAGAGGUGCUUGGAACGAAUGGUGUAGUAGUGAAAUGCGUUGAUAUCAUUCGGAACACCGAAAGCGAAGGCAGAGCACUGGGUGCCACCUGACACUGCUAGGACGAAAGCGUGGGUAGCGAAUGGG
rnacentral:rRNA from 1 species